rnacentral:rRNA from 1 species
GACGUAGGGGGCGAGCGUUGUCCGGAAUCACUGGGCGUAAAGAGCUCGUAGGCGGGGCUGCGCGUCUUGGAGUAAAUCCAUCUGCUUAACGGAUGGGUCGUCUGAGAUACGGCAGCUCUUGAGGACAGAAGAGGAAAGCAGAAUUCCGGGUGUAGCGGUGAAAUGCGUAGAUAUCCGGAGGAAUACCAGUGGCGAAGGCGGCUUUCUGGUCUGAUUCUGACGCUGAGGAGCGAAAGCCAGGGGAGCGAACGGG